GCGGAAGUGGCGGAAUUGGCAGACGCGCUAGCUUUAGGCGCUAGUAUCGGUUAACGAUGUGGGGGUUCGAGUCCCUUUUUCCGCACCA
rnacentral:tRNA from 1 species